CCUACGGGUGACAGCAGUGGGGAAUCUUUCACACUGGGGGAAACCCUGCUGCAGCGACGCCGCGUGAGUGACGAAGUCCUUCGUUAUGUCAAGCUCUAUCAGCAGGGAAGCAAAUGACGGUACCUGAGUAAGAAGCCCCGGCUAACUACGUGCCAGCAGCCGCGGUAAUACGUCGGGGGCAAGCGUUAUCCGGAUUUACUGGGUGUAAAGGGAGCGUAGACGGCAGUGCAAGUCUGGAGUGAAAUCCCCGCGCUCAACGUGGGAGCUGCCAUUGAAACUGGCCAACUGGAGUGUGUGAGAGGAUAGAGGAAUGCCAGGUGUAGGAGUGAAAUCCGUAGAUAUCUGGAGGAACAUCAGUGGCGAAGGCGACUAACUGGCACAUAACUGACGCUGAGGAGCGAAAGCGUGGGUAGCAAACAGGAUUAGAUACCCGUGUAGUC
rnacentral:rRNA from 1 species